rnacentral:misc_RNA from 1 species
GAAAUGCGAUACGUCAUGCGAAUUGCAGAAACUUGUGAGUCAUCAAAACUUUGAACGCAACUUGCACUUCCGUAAGGGAGUAUGUCUGUUGGAGUGUCUGUUCAUCCCCACUUCCGCCCCUUCAUCCGGGCGGGCAGUGCCGGCCGCUUGUCGCACGCAGCAAUGUUGCGACGGACAAUCGAGUCUAGAUGAAACACCAAUCAACCGAACUCGCCCCUGCUCUUUGCUCAACAGAGACGCUCGGAACGACGCGACGUGGUUUUUGCAAAAGAGCGUUAAAAACUCUUUUCUGAUCCUCAACGCGUCUGCUCCUACAGCAUUCCUCCGGCGGGUACACCAAAAGAGAGCCCCGGCAUACCAUGAGUUCAUCCGAUCGGACCUCCAAUCAGGCAAGAAUACC